AAGAAAAGCCUCUAGCGAGGUGAGAGGUGCCCGUACCGCAAACCGACACAGGUAGGCGAGGAGAGAAUCCUAAGGUGAUCGAGAGAACUCUCGUUAAGGAACUCGGCAAAAUGACCCCGUAACUUCGGGAGAAGGGGUGCUCUGUUAGGGUGCAAGCCCGAGAGAGCCGCAGUGAAUAGGCCCAGGCGACUGUUUAGCAAAAACACAGGUCUCUGCGAAGCCGUAAGGCGAAGUAUAGGGGCUGACGCCUGCCCGGUGCUGGAAGGUUAAGAGGAGCGCUUAGCGUAAGCGAAGGUGCGAAUUGAAGCCCCAGUAAACGGCGGCCGUAACGAUAACGGUCCUAAGGUAGCGAAAUUCCUUGUCGGGUAAGUUCCGACCCGCACGAAAGGCGCAACGAUCUGGGCACUGUCUCAACGAGAGACUCGGUGAAAUUAUAGUACCUGUGAAGAUGCAGGUUACCCGCGACAGGACGGAAAGACCCCGUGGAGCUCUACUGCAGCCUGAUAUUGAAUGUUGGUACAGCUUGUACUGGAUAGGUAGGAGCCUUGGAAACCGGAGCGCCAGCUUCGGUGGAGGCAUCGGUGGGAUACUACCCUGGCUGUAUUGACCUUCUAACCCGCCGCCCUUAUCGGGCGGGGAGACAGUGUCAGGUGGGCAGUUUGACUGGGGCGGUCGCCUCCUAAAAGGUAACGGAGGCGCCCAAAGGUUCCCUCAGAAUGGUUGGAAAUCAUUCGCAGAGUGUAAAGGCACAAGGGAGCUUGACUGCGAGACCUACAAGUCGAGCAGGGACGAAAGUCGGGCUUAGUGAUCCGGUGGUUCCGCAUGGAAGGGCCAUCGCUCAACGGAUAAAAGCUACCCCGGGGAUAACAGGCUUAUCUCCCCCAAGAGUCCACAUCGACGGGGAGGUUUGGCACCUCGGUGUCGGCUCAUCGCAUCCUGGGGCUGUAGUCGGUCCCAAGGGUUGGGCUGUUCGCCCAUUAAAGCGGUACGCGAGCUGGGUUCAGAACGUCGUGAGACAGUUCGGUCCCUAUCCGUCGCGGGCGCAGGAAAUUUGAGAGGAGCUGUCCUUAGUACGAGAGGACCGGGAUGGACGCACCGCUGGUGUACCAGUUGUUCUGCCAAGGGCAUCGCUGGGUAGCUAUGUGCGGACGGGAUAAGUGCUGAAAGCAUCUAAGCAUGAAGCCCCCCUCAAGAUGAGAUUUCCCAUUCCGCAAGGAAGUAAGAUCCCUGAAAGAUGAUCAGGUUGAUAGGUCUGAGGUGGAAGUGUGGCGACACAUGGAGCUGACAGAUACUAAUCGAUCGAGGACUUAACCG
rnacentral:rRNA from 1 species